AGCACGCAGAGGGGAUACAUCAAAACAGAUGUAAUCUUUGUAGCAUGGGCCGUUCGUUGGCAACUGAAAGUUACUGCUGAUGCCCAUUGUGUUUCGGACCUGGGGUCAGAGGUGCUCCUGCUUUUCCCUCUGCCAGAUAAAAGCAUCAGUGGUGUCACAGUGCUCUUCGCAGAAACGCUCCCUCAGAGAAGGAUGGAAAUGUUGAGCUGUGUCUUUGUUCUGGAGCCCCAGUCUUUACCAAAAGCUUUGUGCUUGGCCACAGACAUGAAUAAAGGGAGCAAAGCACAGGCCCAGACCCAACAGGAAUGGCCUGGAAUUAGCGAAUGUAAAGACUCAGCUUUGAGUCAUGUUCUAGGCUGGAGUAGAGUUGCCUGCUUUAUCUGAGCACUGCACUUCAGACUUUCAAACCACAAGGAUGGCUGUAACUUGGCCUCAGAAGACGGCAGCCAUUUUCUCUGUCAGCUUAAUAUAUUGGUCUUGAAGCUGUGGGAACUACUGGCUGGAACACAGCUGCGGUGAAUGGACAAGUUUGCUGUUUGCAUGUUUUAAGUUUGUUUUUUCCCCUCUUCCCAGUGUAAUU
ensembl:lncRNA